rnacentral:rRNA from 1 species
GACGAACGCUGGCGGCGUGCUUAACACAUGCAAGUGGAGCGACGAACCGGGCUUCGGCCCGGGGCAAAGCCGCGAACGGGUGAGUAACACGUGGGUAACCUGCCCCGACGACCGGGACAACCCGAGGAAACUCGGGCUGAUACCGGAUGAGCCCACGUCACACCAGUGGCACGAGGAAAGGAAGCUUCGGCCUCCGCAUCGGGAUGGGCCCGCGGCCCAUUAGCUUGUUGGUGGGGUAACGGCCUACCAAGGCUGCGAUGGGUAGCUGGUCUGAGAGGACGAUCAGCCACACUGGGACUGAGACACGGCCCAGACUCCUACGGGAGGCAGCAGUGGGGAAUCUUGCGCAAUGCGCGAAAGCGUGACGCAGCAACGCCGCGUGCGGGAAGAAGGCCUGCGGAUUGUAAACCGCUUUCAGGUGGGACGAAGCUUAGCCGGUGAAUAGCCGGCCGGAGUGACGGUACCUUCACAAGAAGCCCCGGCUAACUACGUGCCAGCAGCCGCCGUAACAC